AACUAUGCCUGAGCGGGG
rnacentral:siRNA from 1 species